UUUAUGGAGAGUUUGAUCCUGGCUCAGGAUGAACGCUGGCGGCGUGCCUAAUACAUGCAAGUCGAGCGAACGGACGAGAAGCUUGCUUCUCUGAUGUUAGCGGCGGACGGGUGAGUAACACGUGGAUAACCUACCUAUAAGACUGGGAUAACUUCGGGAAACCGGAGGUAAUACCGGAU
rnacentral:rRNA from 1 species